rnacentral:rRNA from 1 species
UACGAAGGGGGCUAGCGUUGUUCGGAAUUACUGGGCGUAAAGCGCGCGCAGGCGGUUUUCCAAGUCAGUGGUGAAAGCCCGGAGCUCAACUCCGGAACUGCCAUUGAAACUGUUGAACUUGAGGACGAGAGAGGUGAGUGGAAUUCCCAGUGUAGAGGUGAAAUUCGUAGAUAUUGGGAAGAACACCGGUGGCGAAGGCGGCUCACUGGCUCGUUUCUGACGCUCAGGCGCGAUAGCGUGGGGAUCAAACAGG